rnacentral:rRNA from 1 species
UACGUAGGGUGCAAGCGUUGUCCGGAAUUAUUGGGCGUAAAGAGCUCGUAGGCGGUUUUGUUGCGUCGGCUGUGAAAUCCCGAGGCUCAACCUCGGGUCUGCAGUCGAUACGAGCAAACUAGAGUGUUGCAGGGGAGACUGGAAUUCCUGGUGUAGCGGUGAAAUGCGCAGAUAUCAGGAGGAACACCGGUGGCGAAGGCGGGUCUCUGGGCCACUACUGACGCUGAGAAGCGAAAGCAUGGGGAGCGAACAGG